CACGUAGGGGCGAGCGUUGUCCGGAAUCAUUGGGCGUAAAGAGCUCGUAGGCGGCUCGGUAAGUCGGGUGUGAAACCCCCAGGCUCAACCUGGGGACGCCGACCCGAUACUGCUGUGGCUAGAGUCCAGUAGGGGAGUGUGGAAUUCCCGGUGUAGCGGUGAAAUGCGCAGAUAUCGGGAGGAACACCAGCGGCGAAGGCGGCACUCUGGGCUGGAACUGACGCUGAGGAGCGAAAGCG
rnacentral:rRNA from 1 species